rnacentral:rRNA from 1 species
AGAAUCAACGCUGGCGGCGUGCCUAACACAUGCAAGUCGCACGAGAAAAGGACUUCGGUCCUGAGUAAAGUGGCGCACGGGUGAGUAACACGUGAAUCAUCUACCUCCGAAUGGGGAAUAACUGAGAGAAAUCUUAGCUAAUACCGCAUAAUACCUACGGGUCAAAGCAGCAAUGCGUUUGGAGAGGAGUUCGCGGUCGAUUAGUUAGUUGGCGGGGUAAUGGCCCACCAAGACGAUGAUCGAUAUCCGGCCUGAGAGGGCGCACGGACACACUGGAACUGAAACACGGUCCAGACUCCUACGGAGGCAGCAGUGGGGAAUUUUGCGCAAUGGGGGAAACCCUGACGCAGCAACGCCGCGUGGAGGAUGAAAUAUCUUGGUAUGUAAACUCCUUUCGAUGGGGAAGAUAAUGACGGUACCCAUAGAAGAAGCCCGGCUAACUUCGUGCCAGCAGCCGC